CAGGGAUAGCAGUGUAAAUCCCGCCGUUUGACUUCAGUCAAUCAAGGAAUUGAAACGGAUAGCCCGCCCGGAC
rnacentral:sRNA from 1 species